rnacentral:lncRNA from 1 species
GCUGUAUUCAUAGCAUAUGCAAGUUCCCAGGCUAGGGGUUGAAUUGGAGCUAUGGUUGCCGGCCUAUGCCACAGGCACAGCAAUGCCAGAUCUGAGCUGCAUCUGCGACCUACACCACAGCUCACAGCAAUGACAGUUCCCUGAUCCACUGAGCAAGGCCAGGGAUCCAACCUGCAUCCUCAUGGAUUCUAGUCCGAUUCAUUUCCGCUGUGUCACAACAGGAACUCCAGUGUGGUAUGUCUCUAAAAUGGAAUAUUAUUCAGCCAUAAAAAGAAUGAAAUAAUGCCAGCUGCAGCAACAAGGAUAAGUCAGAAAGAGCAAGACAAAUUAUCAUAUGAUAUCACGCGUAAGUACAAUUGAAAAUAUGGCACAAAUCAACAUAUCUACAAAACAGAAACAGACUCACAGACACAGAAAACAGACCUGAGGUUGCCAAGGGGAGGGAAAUGGAGAAAGGGAAGGACUGGGAGUUUGGGGUUAGCAAAUUAUUAUAUAUGAUGCAUAAACUGCAAGGUCCUGCUGUGUAGCACAGAGAACAAUAAUCAAUAUCCUGUGAUAAUCCAUAAUGGAAAACAACAUGAAAAAGAACAUAUAUAUGUGUGUGUAUAUAUACAUAUAUAUAUAUAUUGUGUGUGUAUAUACAUAUAUUGAGUCAACUUGCUAGCCACGGAUGCACUGAAACUAAAUGAAAACUGAACAAGUGAACUAACUGAAAGACCUAUGAGAAACAUGCCACCAACUACACUUAAACCUGAGCAGAGGACUAUUCCUGGUUUCAUAGAUUAAGACACCAUCUAAAUGCAAAAACAGGACAGUCAGAAUUCAAGUACAGGUAUAACUUGAACAUAAUAUGUGAAAAUUAUAGGGGUAGGAGUGAAUUCUGAACCCGUUUGGGGCCUCAGAUGUGGAGGAAGGUAUAUCCUUGAUAUAUCCUUAAUUUAAGAGAGAAAAAAAGGGGUUUCCUUAUGGCUCAGUAGAUUAAGGAUAUGGUGUUAUCAUUGCUGUGGCUCUGGUUUCAGCUGUGGCUCAGGUUCAAUCCCUGGCCCCGGAACUUCUGUGUGCCAAGGGCAUGACAAAAAAAAAAAAAAAAAUUUUUUUUUAAAUAAAAUGUGGUAAGAAGUUUCCUGGUGGGGAGUUCCUGUCGUGGCGCAGUGGAAACGAAUCUGACUAGGAAACAUGAGGUUUCAGGUUCAACCCUGGCCUCGCUCAGUGGGUUAAGGAUCCGGCAUUGCUGUGAGCUGUGGUGUAGGUUGCAGAUGCAGCUUGGAUCCUGAGUUGCUCUUGUGGCAACACCGGAUCCUUAACCCACUGAGUGAGGCCAGGGAUCAAGCCCACAUCCUCAUGGAUAUGAGUGGGUUUGUUAACCGCUGAGCCACGAUGGGCACUCCUUUAGUCCCUUUUCCUACUACACACACACGGUCUCCUAACUAUGUCUUCCCUGUUAAAUGUGAACUUCUUGAGGACAGGGGCUGUCCUCCUUCGUUUGGAAAGGUCUGAUGAGUGAAUGAACCUGGCAUCUGCAAAGGGUUAGGGUAGGAAAGGUGGUCAGUAGAAAGGACGUAUAUGCCACUGCAGUUAACAACCUAUCAGGUGUUUAAUUCUACUGCCCUUAAUUACGCAAGAAAAUUUACUUCUCUCCAAGCUAAAAAAAAAUUUGCUAUUGUAAAUCUAAGAAAAUUAAAAGGCAAUGAUUUAGUACAUUUUUUUUUCCUAUCCUAGUUUUCAGCAAAGGAAAACUACCAAAAUGCCAUGGAGACUAUAUUGACCUUAUACAUGUAAUUAAACUUAAGUUUUUCAAAACUAAAUUGAAAGAACCCUCCUUCCUUUGAAACAUAAAAUAUUUUGACUUUUAAUUAUGUGAAAAUGGCCAGAACUAUUUUAACCAAUGUCAUUUAUCACAAAACCUAUAAAACCUGAGUAAAGCAAAAUAGGAAUAUAGAAGCAAGCUUGUGUUAAGGGUGACUAGUCAAAAAUAAAUAAAUACAUAAAAAGGAAACACUAUAAAUGCUAAAUAGAGGAAGAGAAAAAAUAAUUUAAACAGCAUUUAUAAGGAUCACAUUCACCAUAACUCAUUAUAAUGAUUUAUAAUGAUAGUUUGGAUUAUUUCUUGCUUUUUAAAGAUGCUUAUUCAAAACAUACUAUUUUCCAUUACUUAAAGAUUUACCUUAUUUAGUGUUGAAACACAUUUUGUCUUUUUUUUUUAGGGUCGCACCCGUGGCAAAGGGGGGUUCCCAGGCUAGGGGUCUAAUUGGAGCUGCAGCUGCCGGCCUACACCACAGCCACAGCAAUGUCAGAUCCGAGCCUCGCCUGUGACCUACACCACAGCUCACAGGAGGUGAGAUCCUUAACCCACUGAUCGAGGCCAGGGAUCAAACUUGUGUCCUCAUGCAUGCUAGUCAGAUUUGUUUCCACUGAGCCACCACGGGAACUCUGAAAUACAUUUUUGAUAAACAACUUCUAUGCAAACUUGAAAUUAAGAAGAUAUCCUGGAGGCAGAAGCACUACACUUAAGAGCAAUAUUUAAGUCUAAGGGCACAGGAAAUGCUCAAAAUGCUAUUACUGGAGUUCCAGUUGUGGCUCAGAGGUAGAACUUGACUAGUAUCCAUGAGGACAUGGGUUCCAUCCCUGGCCUCACUCAGUGGGUUAAAUAAGAUCCUGCAUUGCAGUGAGCUGUGCUGUAGGUUGCAGAUACGGCCUGGAUCUGGCUGUGGCAUAAGCUGGCAGCUGCAGCUCCGAUUCGACCCCUACCCUGGAAAGUUCCAUAUGCCACAGGUGCAGCCCUAAAAAGGAAAAACAAAAAAAGCUAUUACUUAAAUUGAAUGCUAAAGCUAAACCAACUCCUCAGUGUAAAAUGAGCAUCAAAAACUGCAAGCGGGAGGACAAUACAAAAUUUUAACAUAGAAGUUAAAAACACAGAUUUUAAAAACUGGGUUUAAAUCCUGGCUCUGCCAGUUACUUCCCCUCACUGAGCUUCACUUUCCUCACGUGUAAAAUAGGAAUAGCAAACCUAACUCUCAAGAUUGUUCUAAGUGCCAGGUACACAAUUAUCUAAUAAAUAGCACCCAUCAUUUCCUGUAACCAUGAACUUGUUCCAUCCAGAAUACCAUUGCAAUCUUGAACACAUUUGAAUACAAAAGUAACACAAUUAUUUAUUGGAACAGCAUGAUUAAGUCACUCCUUUUAAAAACAUAAUAUCUUAGAGUACUGGUUCUAAUACUAUUUAAAAAGAGUGUCUUAAAGAGCUUGGUGCUUAUUCUUUAACAGGCAAUACCAAAGUAUCUCCCUAUUUGUAUAUUAUUUCCAACUUUAUGAUAAUGUUUUCAGUUACAAUUUAGGCCAGAGAAAGUAGCAACAGUAGCUAUUUUAAAUCCACCAUUCAAGUUAGAUCAACUUCUAUCACUCAAAUCAACUGGAAAGUCUGAAAGUUUGCACUAGGAAAGAUAACUUAACCCAGUAAGGAAAACAAGUAAAAUAGGAAUUAUAGGAACACAAAAACUUCAAUUAUGUGCCUGCUAUUUAGGUUCUAAAGGUAUCUUGGUCACAGUGAACCAACCAGAGGGCUUUAAAUGCAAAAAUGAAAUGUCAAGUUGGAAGCUAGACAAAACAAAACAAAACAAAACAAAAAACAAAAAAAACCCCACUAAAAUCUCUUUUCGACACCAAACGAGGAUAACUCAAGAAAUUGGAUUUUUUUCUUCCACUCUGUCACCAACUUUUUUUUCCAGGUGAGUCUGCUGCCCAAAUGCUUUUUUUUUCUUCUUUUCUUUUCUUCUAAGAGCAACCAAAUUGUUUUAAGACCAAAACAAUAUUCCUGAAAUGUGAGGUAUGUAAAACUAACAUUCUGAUAGUCAAGGAUCAACAGCAUUUCAGAGAUGGAAAUUACCACACCUUUGAGAUGAUCUGAUCCAACGCUCCUAACCUUAUAGAUGAGAAAACAACUAAAAACCGUAGAUCCAGUGCCACUUUGUAACAAACCUGCACAUCAAAAUAUGGAGAAACAAUCACGAUCCAGGUGAGGAAGCAGAACUUUAAAAUAGAAACCCACAUUUGAUUAUUGACACCUUAAGCUUUAUACAACUUAAAGAGCACAAAAUCGUUUUCUCAAGGCAAAUCAGAGAGACGUUUAGACAAUUUACUACACUAAUUAGCUCAAAUUGAUCAUUUUUACCCUGAAGAAAUCAUAUUAUUCUGGCUAAUGCGGGAAGAAAACACCUAGCUAACUUUCUAGAAUUCACCAAAUUUCCCAUUAGAUACUUAAAGUGCACUUCAAACCUGAGUUUUGAGAAAUGAAAUAUAGCUAACAGUUUUCUUCACUAAUCACUUAGGGUGGUAAACAUCUGGAACGAUAUUUUUCAAUCAGUCACAGCCCACUAUUGGGUCCUGAAAUACACUGAUGUUUAAUAACUAGCAUUUUAAAAAGAAGAGAAAAAAAGACAGGAGGAGGGAAGGAGGAAGGAAAGAAGAAAGGAAGGGAGGGAAGGAGGGAGGAAGGAAAGGAGGUCCCAUUGUGGUUCAGCAUUAACGACUCCGACUAGAAUCCAUGAGGAUGCGGGUUCGAUACCUGGCCUGGCUCAGUGGGUUAAGGAUCCGACGUUGCGGUGAGCUGUGGUGUAGGUCAGAGGCGAGGCUCGGAUCGGGCAUUGCUGAGGUGUAGGCUGACAGCUGCAGCUCUGCUUUGACCCCUAGCCUGGGAAUGUCCAUAUGCCACAUGUGCAGAUCUAAAAAGGAGGGAGAAAGGAAGGAAAGAAGGCAGGCAGGCAGGAAGAAAAAGCAAAUAGAAAAUGUCAGUAGU